rnacentral:rRNA from 1 species
CACGUAGGGGGCGAGCGUUAUCCGGAAUUACUGGGCGUAAAGGGUGCGUAGGUGGUUUCUUAAGUCAGAGGUGAAAGGCUACGGCUCAACCGUAGUAAGCCUUUGAAACUGGGAAACUUGAGUGCAGGAGAGGAGAGCGGAAUUCCAGGUGUAGCGGUGAAAUGCGUAGAUAUCUGGAGGAACACCGGUGGCGAAAGCGGCUUUCUGGCGCAUAACUGACGCUGAGGCUCGAAAGCGUGGGGAGCGAACGGGAUUAGAUACCCCCGUAGUCCCUGAGCGGGCUGG